GUAGUAAAUAUUAUUUAUUAUAAAAAAUAAAUAUUAAAUAAUGGAUCCAAGUGAAGUAGAAUUUCUUGGUGAAAAAGAAUUAGUCACUGUUGUACCCAAUUUUAGUUUUGAUACAAUUCAUUUGAUUUCUGGCUCGGUAGGUCCUUUUCGAGCUGGUUUACCUGUCAAAAUUCCAAUUUGGUUGGCUGUGAAUUUAAAACAACAGCAAAAGUGUCGAAUUAUUAAUCAAGACUGGAUGGAUGCCGAAAGUUUAAAUGAAGCGAAGGAAGAAGAAAAAUUAUCAAAAUUAUUUACAAAAAUGCCUAGUAAUCAUUAUGUGGAUGAAACGCAACUCUUAUUAAGUGCUGCAAGUGAUGAUAUACACGAAGCAGAUAAAAUAAGGACAGCAGUGAAAGAUUUGUGGGACAUAAGAAUGUCAAAGCUUCGUACGUCUAUAGAUGCAUUCCUCAAAAGUGAUGGAAUGCAUGCAAAAUUAGAUCAUUUAACUGCUAUGGAAAUCAAUAGUGUGCGUCCAUUACUUCCGCAUGCUCUUGAUCAAAUGAUGAGAAUUCAAACUAUCACAAAAUCAACACAACUUCAGCAACAUUUAAACAAGGAUCGACCUUUACUCGGAUGAACAUGGUGUUAUCUUUGACAAAAUGUCGUUUCUUUACCAUUUCAUGAGAAACAAAUCGAGGAAAACCAAAACCAAGGGAAUCGGGUUCACGACUGGGCCUUUGAAAGUUCUUCCAUGUUGGAUCUGAUGUUUGUCCAACGAGAAUCUGUUUCCCUGUAACAAUGGGAUAUACCUUAAAACGGCAACCAGCAUCUUUGAAAGUACAAGAUAAGAGAUGUGUAGUGCAAUGAUCUUUCAAAUGGACUUCAAGAUCUUCUCUUGGUAAAACAGCAGUUUCACAACGAUGUGGACAAGCGACUGGAAAACGACCACACUUAGCGUGAUGAGCACCAAGAGUGUCAAAAACGAACUCUUUGUUACAAUAACGACAUGCCACCAGUCUUUUCGCACAUUCGCCCAACUUAUGCUGACUGAGAUGCCUUCGUUGUACCUUCAUACCGCAUUUAUUCUCGCAGUAGAGCGGCUC